CCUACGGGUGGCAGCAGUGGGGAAUAUUGGACAAUGGGCGAAAGCCUGAUCCAGCCAUGCCGCGUGUGUGAAGAAGGCCUUCGGGUUGUAAAGCACUUUCAGUGGGGAAGAAAGCCUUGGGGCUAAUACCCUCGAGGAAGGACAUCACCCACAGAAGAAGCACCGGCUAACUCCGUGCCAGCAGCCGCGGUAAUACGGAGGGUGCGAGCGUUAAUCGGAAUUACUGGGCGUAAAGCGCGCGUAGGCGGUCUGAUAAGCCGGUUGUGAAAGCCCCGGGCUCAACCUGGGAACGGCAUCCGGAACGGUCAGGCUAGAGUGCAGGAGAGGAAGGUAGAAUUCCCGGUGUAGCAGUGAAAUGCGUAGAGAUCGGGAGGAAUACCAGUGGCGAAGGCGGCCUUCUGGACUGACACUGACGCUGAGGUGCGAAAGCGUGGGUAGCAAACAGGAUUAGAUACCCGAGUAGUC
rnacentral:rRNA from 1 species